UUAUAGUUUUGAAAGCUUUUUUUUCCUUUUUUUUUCUUUCUUUUUUUAAUUCUAAAUAUUUUUGAAGCAUCCUGUUUCUUGUAAACUUUAAAGUUGGUUUUAAAAUUGUUUUUUAUAUGACUGGGGAAAAUGGUUUGUCUUUCAGUACUGAAACAUUCUAAAAUAUUGACUGAAAUUAAACUAAUUCGUUUGGAAAUGUCAGGCCACGUGAGUUUAACAAUUGUGUCCAUAUGAGAAAGUAUUGAUUACACAGUUUUAACAAUUAAAAGUGAAUUUUCAGUGGAUAGUUUCUUGUUGACAGUGCAGGAGGUUUUUGUACGGCCACUUAAUGACUUUGUAUCACUGUGGUUGACUUUUGGUGGAGGAACCAAACUCAUCAUCCACUCUGGCUCCAUGGUCAGGCCCUCAGUCUCUCUGCUUCCCCCCUCCUCUGAGCAGCUCUCUGGGGGCUCGGCCACGCUGGCCUGCCUGCUGACUGGCUACUCUCCUCAGGGAGCCGUGGUGAGCUGGGAGGUGGACGGUACAGCGGUGACAGAGGGGGUCCUGGACAGCUCAGAGGAGGAGAAGAGCGGACGCUACAGCAGCAGCAGCACCCUGAGCCUGAGCCGGGAGCGCUGGAUGAAAGGAGAGCUGUACUCCUGCAAGGUCCUCCAUCAUGCCCACAGUCAGAUCCAGUCCCUCCGCAGGAGCCAGUGUGAGGGCUAGAGGGGCUGAGUGAAGCCCAGGACAGGAGCUGUGUGUGGGGGGAGCAGGAGGAACACACCUGCUGCUCUCAUCCAUAUGAGUUUUAAUCUUUGUAGAGGAAAGUAAAGCUUUGUGUGACAGAGAACAACACUGCUGCAAAGUGUUGGACAACAACAUCUUAGAGAGUAAUGUGUGGAGCUCAGCAGCUGGAUGUGAGUGUGCUUAAUAACUGUCUGACUGAUGUUUUUGCUAAUAAAGCUUCAACUGAUACAUGA